UAUGUGAUCGUCUCUCGCAUAUCAAUAAGCGGAGGAAAAGAAACUAACAAGGAUUCCCCUAGUAACGGCGAGUGAAGCGGGAAGAGCUCAAAUUUGAAAUCUUAAAGGGUUUCCCUUUACGAAUUGUAGUUUAAAGAAGUGUUUUUCUGUAGAGGUUUUGGUAAAAGUUCUUUGGAAUAGGACAUCAUAGAGGGUGAGAAUCCCGUAUUUGACCUUUACUUUCAACUUUGUGAUACACUUUCAAAGAGUCGGAUUGUUUGGGAAUGCAGUCCAAAAUGGGUGGUAAAUUUCAUCUAAAGCUAAAUAUUGGCGAGAGACCGAUAGCGAACAAGUACCGUGAGGGAAAGAUGAAAAGAACUUUGAAAAGAGAGUUAAACAGUACGUGAAAUUGUCAAAAGGGAAGCGUUUGACACCAGUGUUGUUUUUCUGAAAAUCAAUUAAAGAACUGUUUAUGCUAAGCUUGUUUAGACUUUAUCAGCUAAUCUGUUUAGUUUUGAGCUUUUCUUUAAUGCACUUUUCAGUUAACAAGUCAACAUCAAUUUCUUUUGCUGUAAAAAAGCUUGAGGAAGGUGGCUUGAGAUUCGUCUUAAGUGUUUAUAGCCUCUUGCCUAUGCAGUCGGAGAGAUUGAGGUCUGCAGCGUAGAUCCUUCGGGGCUAAAUGCAUUUGUGCUAAGUUAUAGCAUUUUAUAGACAACUUGUUGACUAUGAUUUGUCUUGUAGCUUACUCGCUUAUGUUAUUUUACCUACGCUUAGGAUGUUGAGUAGCGACAUACGCAC
rnacentral:rRNA from 1 species